GUGGGUAUGGCUCAGUGGUAAAGCACUUGCCUAGAAUGCAAGAGGCCUUGGGUUUGUCUCCCGACACCCCG
rnacentral:tRNA from 1 species